rnacentral:rRNA from 1 species
UUGCUCCUCUGACGUUAGCGGCGGACGGGUGAGUAACACGUGGAUAACCUACCUAUAAGACUGGGAUAACUUCGGGAAACCGGAGCUAAUACCGGAUAAUAUAUUGAACCGCAUGGUUCAAUAGUGAAAGACGGUUUUGCUGUCACUUAUAGAUGGAUCCGCGCCGCAUUAGCUAGUUGGUAAGGUAACGGCUUACCAAGGCAACGAUGCGUAGCCGACCUGAGAGGGUGAUCGGCCACACUGGAACUGAGACACGGUCCAGACUCCUACGGGAGGCAGCAGUAGGGAAUCUUCCGCAAUGGGCGAAAGCCUGACGGAGCAACGCCGCGUGAGUGAUGAAGGUCUUCGGAUCGUAAAACUCUGUUAUUAGGGAAGAACAAAUGUGUAAGUAACUAUGCACGUCUUGACGGUACCUAAUCAGAAAGCCACGGCUAACUACGUGCCAGCAGCCGCGGUAAUACGUAGGUGGCAAGCGUUAUCCGGAAUUAUUGGGCGUAAAGCGCGCGUAGGCGGUUUUUUAAGUCUGAUGUGAAAGCCCACGGCUCAACCGUGGAGGGUCAUUGGAAACUGGAAAACUUGAGUGCAGAA